rnacentral:rRNA from 1 species
CGCACGGGUGAGUAACACGUAUCCAACCUGCCGUCUACUCUUGGACAGCCUUCUGAAAGGAAGAUUAAUACAAGAUGGCAUCAUGAGUUCACAUGUUCACAUGAUUAAAGGUAUUCCGGUAGACGAUGGGGAUGUGUUCCAUUAGAUAGUAGGCGGGGUAACGGCCCACCUAGUCUUCGAUGGAUAGGGGUUCUGAGAGGAAGGUCCCCCACAUUGGAACUGAGACACGGUCCAA